CACGCCCUAAACGAUGCUCACUAGGUGUUGGGGAAGCGAUUCCUUGGUACCGUAGCUAACGCGUGAAGUGAGCCGCCUGGGGAGUACGGCCGCAAGGUUAAAACUCAAAGGAAUUGACGGGGACCCGCACAAGCGGUGGAUGAUGUGGAUUAAUUCGAUGCAACGCGAACAACCUUACCUACCCUUGACAUGUCCGGAAUCCUGCUGAAAGGCGGGGGUGCUCGAAAGAGAACCGGAACACAGGUGC
rnacentral:rRNA from 1 species